rnacentral:tRNA from 1 species
GGGCGGAUAGCUCAGCUGGAUAGAGUGUUGGCCUCCGAAGCCAAAGGUCGCGGGUUCGAAUCCCGCUUCGCCCACCA